GAUGAACGCUGGCGGCGUGCUUAACACAUGCAAGUCGAACGGAAAGGCCCAAGCUUGCUUGGGUACUCGAGUGGCGAACGGGUGAGUAACACGUGGGUGAUCUGCCCUGCACUUCGGGAUAAGCCUGGGAAACUGGGUCUAAUACCGGAUAGGACCACAUUUUGGAUGGUGUGGUGGAAAGUUUUUCGGUGUGGGAUGAGCUCGCGGCCUAUCAGCUUGUUGGUGGGGUAAUGGCCUACCAAGGCGUCGACGGGUAGCCGGCCUGGGAGGGUGUACGGCCACAUUGGGACUGAGAUACGGCCCAGACUCCUACGGGAGGCAGCAGUGGGGAAUAUUGCACAAUGGGCGCAAGCCUGAUGCAGCGACGCCGCGUGGGGGAUGACGGCCUUCGGGUUGUAAACUCCUUUCGCUAGGGACGAAGCGCAAGUGACGGUACCUGGAGAAGAAGCACCGGCUAACUACGUG
rnacentral:rRNA from 1 species